UACGUAGGGGGCAAACGUUGUCCGGAUUUACUGGGUGUAAAGGGCGCGUAGGCGGGUUUGUAAGUCAGAGGUGAAAUCCCGCGGCUCAACCGCAGAACUGCCUUUGAUACUGCAAAUCUUGAGUACAGAAGAGAGAAGCAGAAUUCCAGGUGUAGUAGUGAAAUACGUAGAUAUCUGGAAGAAUACCGGCGGCGAAGGCGGCUUCUUGGUCUGUAACUGACGCUGAGGCGCGAAAGCGUGGGUAGCAAACAGG
rnacentral:rRNA from 1 species